GAUCAUGGCUCAGGAUGAACGCUGGCGGCGUGCCUAACACAUGCAAGUCGAGCGGAGAUAAGUGAAGCCUAGCGAUUCUAUCUAGCGGCGGAUGGGUGAGUAACACGUGGGUAACCUGCCCUGCACUGGGGAAUAACAGCUGGAAACGGCUGUUAAUGCCGCAUAUGCGCACGGAGCCGCAUGGCUUUGGGCGGAAAGAUUUAUCGGUGCAGGAUGGGCCCGCGCCGGAUUAACUAGUUGGCGGGGUAACGGCCCACCAAGGUGAUGAUCCGUAGCCGACCUGAGAGGGUGACCGGCCACAUUGGGACUGAGACACGGCCCAAACUCCUACGGGAGGCAGCAGUGGGGGAUAUUGCACAAUGGGGGAAACCCUGAAUGCAGCGACGCCGCGUGAAGGAUGAAGUAUUUCGGUAUGUAAACUUCUAUCAGCGGGGAAGAAGAUGACGGUACCCGACUAAGAAGCCCCGGCUAACUACGUGCCAGCCGCCGC
rnacentral:rRNA from 1 species